rnacentral:rRNA from 1 species
GAUGAACGCUGGCGGCGUGCCUAAUACAUGCAAGUCGAGCGAACGGACGCGAAGCUUGCUUCUCUGAUGUUAGCGGCGGACGGGUGUGUAACACGUGGAUACCCUCCCUAUCAGACUGGGAUAACUUCGGAAAACCGGCUCUAAUCCCGUAUAAUCUUUUGCACCGUAUGGUUCAAAAGUAAAAUACGGUCUUUCUGUCACUUCUCGAUGGAUCCGCGCUUCAUUAGCUAGUUGGUAAGGUAACGGCUUACCAAGGCAACGAUGCAUAGCCGACGUGAGAGGGUGAUCGGCCACACUGGAACUGAGACAGGGACCAGAGGACUACGGGAGGCAGCAGUAGGGAAUCUGAGGCAAUGGGCGAAAGCAUGACGGAGCAGCGCCGCGUGAGUGAUGAAGGUCUUCGGAUCGUAAAACUCUGUUAUUAGGGAAGAACAUAUGUGUAAGUAACUGUGCACAGCGUGACGGUACCUAAUCAGAAAGCCACGGCUAACUACGUG